UUUCGGGGUUCUUGGGUGUCACGCAGAUCUCGGUGGAACCUCCAAAUGAAAGAACCUAGUGGGGAAACCCCCACUCAAUUUCCAUUCCAAAAUUUUCAGUCUCCAAAAACUAAAAAAAAA
rnacentral:pre_miRNA from 7 species